GGGGAUGUGGCGGAACGGUAGACGCAGGCAGCUUAAACCUUCCUGGGCGGUGCCCGUGCGGGUUCGAGUCCCGCCGUCCCUA
rnacentral:tRNA from 1 species